rnacentral:tRNA from 2 species
UCCCUGCUAGCUCAGUGGUAGAGCGCUUCACUAGUACUGUACUUCCCUGUCGGGGGUCCUAUGAAGAGGUCAGUCGUUCAAGUCGGCUGCGGGGAA